rnacentral:rRNA from 1 species
AGUGAGGAAUAUUGCGCAAUGGGGGAAACCCUGACGCAGCCAUGCCGCGUGAGUGAAGAAGGCCUUAGGGUUGUAAAGCUCUUUCAGUCGUGAAGAUAAUGACGGUAGCGACAGAAGAAGCCCCGGCUAAAUUCGUGCCAGCAGCCGCGGUAAUACGAAUGGGGCAAGCGUUGUUCGGAAUCACUGGGCUUAAAGCGUGCGCAGGCGGAUAUGAAAGUCAGGAGUGAAAUCCCAGGGCUCAACCUUGGAAUUGCUUUUGAAACUCCAUAUCUAGAAUCCGGUAGAGGUCAGUGGAAUUCCGAGUGUAGAGGUGAAAUUCGCAGAUAUUCGGAGGAACACCAGUGGCGAAGGCGACUGACUGGACCGGUAUUGACGCUCAGGCACGAAAGCGUGGGGAGCAAA